rnacentral:rRNA from 1 species
UGAGUCAUCCCUGACCCCUUGAGGGUCCUAAAGGGCCGUUGGAGACCACAACGUUGAUAGGUGGGGUGUGUAAGCGCAGUGAUGUGUUGAGCUAACCCAUACUAAUUACCCGUGAGGCUUAACCAU